rnacentral:rRNA from 1 species
AACGAACGCUGGCGGCAGGCCUAACACAUGCAAGUCGAGCGAGGACUUCGGUCCUAGCGGCGGACGGGUGAGUAACGCGUGGGAACGUGCCCCUUGGUACGGAAUAGCCCCGGGAAACUGGGAGUAAUACCGUAUGAGCUCUACGGAGGAAAGAUUUAUCGCCAAGGGAUCGGCCCGCGUUGGAUUAGGUAGUUGGUGGGGUAAUGGCCUACCAAGCCGACGAUCCAUAGCUGGUUUGAGAGGAUGAUCAGCCACACUGGGACUGAGACACGGCCCAGACUCCUACGGGAGGCAGCAGUGGGGAAUCUUAGACAAUGGGCGCAAGCCUGAUCUAGCCAUGCCGCGUGAGCGAUGAAGACCUUAGGGUUGUAAAGCUCUUUCAGCUGGGAAGAUAAUGACUGUACCAGCAGAAGGAGCCCCGGCUAACUCCGUGCCAGCAGCCGCAGUAAGAC